GAAAUGCGAUAAGUAAUGUGAAUUGCAGAAUUCCGUGAAUCAUCGAAUCUUUGAACGCACAUUGCGCCCUCUGGUAUUCCGGGGGGCAUGCCUGUCCGAGCGUCAUUGCAAACCCCUCAAGCACGGCUUGUGUGAUGGGCCCUCCCGCGUCUUGGUCGUCAAGACGGGCCCGAAAAGCAGUGGCGGCUUCGCGGUUAUCCGAUCAGCCAGAGCGUAUGGGGACUUUCUCUCUGUCACACGCCCGCGGCGCGGACCGACGCCUGUCGACCUUUAUUCAUCUUUUUCUCGGUUGACCUCGGAUCAGGUAGGGAUACCCGCUGAACUUAAGC
rnacentral:misc_RNA from 1 species